GAAAAAGGCCGCUUGCGCGGCCUU
rnacentral:sRNA from 1 species